CCUACGGGAGGCAGCAGUGGGGAAUAUUGCACAAUGGGGGCAACCCUGAUGCAGCGACGCAGCGUGAGUGAAGAAGUAUCUCGGUACGUAAAGCUCUAUCAGCAGGGAAGAAAAUGACGGUACCUGACUAAGAAGCCCCGGCUAACUACGUGCCAGCAGCCGCGGUAAUACGGAGGGGGCAAGCGUUAUCCGGAUUUACUGGGUGUAAAGGGAGCGUAGACGGGAGCACAAGUCUGGAGUGAAAUCCCGCGGCUUAACCCCGGAAUUGCUUUGGAAACUGUACGGCUGGAGUGCAGGAGGGGUAGGCGGAAUUCCUGGUGUAGCGGUGAAAUGCUUAGAUAUUAGGAGGAACUCCGAUGGCGAAGGCGGCUUACUGGACUGUAACUGACGUUGAGGCUCGAAAGCGUGGGGAGCAAACAGGAUUAGAUACCCCUGUAGUC
rnacentral:rRNA from 1 species